AUGGUUGUCGUCAGCUCGUGUCGUGAGAUGUUGGGUUAAGUCCCGCAACGAGCGCAACCCUCGACCUUAGUUGCCAGCAUUCAGUUGGGCACUCUAAGGUGACUGCCGGCUAAAAGUCGGAGGAAGGUGGGGAUGACGUCAAAUCAUCAUGCCCCUUAUGACCUGGGCUACACACGUGCUACAAUGGGCGGUACAAAGGGUCGCGAACCCGCGAGGGGGAGCCAAUCCCAAAAAGCCGCUCUCAGUUCGGAUUGCAGGCUGCAACUCGCCUGCAUGAAGCCGGAAUCGCUAGUAAUCGCGGAUCAGCAUGCCGCGGUCGAAUACGUUCCCGGGCCUU
rnacentral:rRNA from 1 species